rnacentral:rRNA from 1 species
AGUGAACGCUGGCGGUAGGCCUAACACAUGCAAGUCGAACGGCAGCACAGGAGAGCUUGCUCUCUGGGUGGCGAGUGGCGGACGGGUGAGGAAUACAUCGGAAUCUACUCUGUCGUGGGGGAUAACGUAGGGAAACUUACGCUAAUACCGCAUACGACCUACGGGUGAAAGCAGGGGAUCUUCGGACCUUGCGCGAUUGAAUGAGCCGAUGUCGGAUUAGCUAGUUGGCGGGGUAAAGGCCCACCAAGGCGACGAUCCGUAGCUGGUCGGAGAGGAUGAUAGGCCACACUGGAACUGAGACACGGGCCAGACUCCUACGGGAGGCAGCAGUGGGGAAUAUUGGACAAUGGGCGCAAGCCUGACCCAGCCAUACCGCGUGGGUGAAGAAGGCCUUCGGGUUGUAAGGCCCUUUUGUUGGGAAAGAAAUCCAGCUGGCUAAUACCCGGUUGGGAUGACGGUACCCAAAGAAUAAGCACCGGCUAACUUCGUGCCAGCCGCCGCCGUAA